ACUAAUUAGAAACACAGGGGCCGGAAGAAUCCGCCCUCCCGAUUGACGAACUGAAGCCAGGACAGACUAUGCGUCGGAUGGUCGUUCCCCAUCCGGCGUGAAGCGCCUAAAAAUGCAGACAAAGAUCUGCUUACGGGCGCAGGCUUCUCAUCAAUCUUCGAGGGUAGCAAAAGCUACCCUCUUUUUUUUAUCUC
rfam:Cedecea davisae DSM 4568 genomic scaffold Scaffold0, whole genome shotgun sequence.